rnacentral:misc_RNA from 1 species
GAUGGUUCAAACCAUGGAGCAAUACCUCUUUUGCUAUGAUGCCGUUAUCGAUGAGCUUGAAGACCUCAUUUCAGAUAGCCAAUGAAGAAGAGAGUUCAUAAUGCAACUGGUUCUUCCUUGCUGCAAUCAUGCUUCUGUACUUGCUUACAAAUGAGAAGAAAUAGAACAAUAAUUUGUUCUGAAGAAGCAAAUCAGUUGGGUCCACUUGAGUUUCUUACUGUUCUUACCAUGUAGGAAUAAGCAUAAAACGUGCAAAAUAUCGUAUGUUGUAUUUCUGUUUGGAAGUAUACAUGCUUUUAGAGAGGGAAAAAGAACUUAUUUAACACACUCUUAAUCGUACCCUGCUUAUUGUUGAUUACAUGUAUGGUAAGUUGAUGAUGUUCAAGGUAGCUUUUACACCAACUUCCUUGCAAUGGUUUAUGUAAAGACCUUAUAUAAAA